UGAAUGAUAGAAUAAAGAGAUACUGACUUCCCCGGAGCCUCCAAACUUGAGUAGUCAGGCAUUGGGAUCCGUGGAAGGCUUGUUAAAUCCAAAUAGAUUGGUCCUACUCCAUCCGCAGAGUUGCUGACGAGGUGCGUCCAGGCCUUCUCCUCACCUCUCAGGGAGAUAUACCAUGCAGUGCCUUCAGUUAUGGUGUUGUGACUGAGGAUGCUUCGGUCAGACAUGUCCCUGAAAACCUGCAUAGAGCUGCACUUCAAGGGAAGUUAUUGAAUAUGUCCUAUCCAACUAAAACAAGGAAAUGAUGAAAAAAAUAAAAUCACUUUCCAGAGGCCUCAGGGCUAACUGGAGACAGAGCUCAGACUGCAACUGAGAAAAGUUGGACUCCAAAACCUGUACUCUGAGCUUUACUGCAUGAGAAAGUUAUUGAAAUGUGCCUUGUGACAUUCAGAAUAAGUGACUUUUCAGAGGUCUCAGAGUCAGUAAGAGACAGAACUCAGAUUGUAACCAAGAAGAGCUGAACUCCAAACUUCUGUGUCCGGAAUUGGUGGGUUCUUGGUCUCACUGACUUCAAGAAUGAAGCGGCAGACCCUCGCGGGCCAGGUCUGCUCAGCAACUCAGUAUGUUGACUUUAUUUCCUGAGAGAGAAACAGAGAGAAGAAAAGAAAGAGGAGGA
rnacentral:lncRNA from 1 species